ensembl:snRNA U6 spliceosomal RNA
GUGCUUGCUUCGGCAGCACAUAUACUAAAAUUGGAACCAUACAGAGAAGAUUAGCAUGGCCCCUGCACAAGGAUGACACACAAAUUCGUGAAGCGUUCCAAUUUUUUUUUUUUUU